AUUGAACGCUGGCGGCAGGCCUAACACAUGCAAGUCGAACGCGUGGCGGCCGGGUGAGUAAUGUCUGGGAAACUGCCCGAUGGAGGGGGAUAACUACUGGAACCGGUAGCUAAUACCGCAUACCAUCAGCUGACCCCAGAUGGGAUUAGCUAGUAGGUGGUGUAACGGCUCACCUAGGCGACGAUCCCUAGCUGGUCUGAGAGGAUGACCAGCCACACGGGAACUGAGACACGGUCCAGACUCCGACGGGAGGCAGCAGUGGGGAAUAUUGCACAAUGGGCGCAAGCCUGAGGCAGCCAUGCCGCGUGUAUGAAGAAGGCCUUCGGGUUGUAAAGUACUUUUAGCGAGGAGGCGGUACUCGCAGAAGAAGCACCGGCUAACUCCGUGCCAGCAGCCGCGGUAAUUC
rnacentral:rRNA from 1 species